GACGGGGGGAGCACACAUCGCCGGAUGGAAUUGUACUGUGUUCCGAGUGGAAUCCCAGGAUUCCAUGAGUGCGCUAGCUCUAUAGACGGAGAAGGCCGGCGAAGCUCAGGAAGCUGGAGAUGGGCAGAGAUACGAGACACCGUUUCAGGGUUUGGAUUGGGAAAGCACCGGAUGAGAGGGAAAUACACCCGGAUACGAAGACAUCACUUGAAUUGUCUGUACGCGCUUAUGUAGAGAAACAGAAUGGCCAUGUUGUCAAUCCUACAAUUGGCACAAGUUUUGACUUGUUAGAUGAGGGUUAUGAAUUCUACAACCUUGACUCAUGGGAAUGUGGUUUCUAGCAAAAAGUAGAUUGAAUGUUCAGCACUAGAGAUGCAUGCAAGAGACUGUGUGUGCUUGUGUGGUCUGUACUUUUAAAUGCAGAUCUUUGUGCUAGUUCCUGAUUUGUAUUGUUGAAACCAAACUGGACAGUUUUGGAGA